rnacentral:rRNA from 1 species
AUGUCUGUUACCGUGCUAGGCCAGAAAGAAGCAUCUCUAAUGGCCAUGAAACAGAGGAGGUCAUUGGGUUUUGUGUUGACUUUAUUCCUUACCUUAAGCCAAUUGGUGUCCCUCAAUCGCGGUAUGAGGGGAGAAUUUUUUUGGGCGCAAGCACACUACACAGUUCUAUAUAAUUCCACCUUGGUGGCCCCGUAUAUCAAUGAACACAAGAAUAUUGGAUGCUCCAAACACCUGGAGCAGUCUGACGACUGGAUUACCGAUGAACACAUUGGGACUUUCGGCGGUUGGUUGCAAACUUAUCUCAUGCAUAUCAAAAUUGUUGAAGAUGAGCUAUACUUGUUCGCCAGGACACCAUCUUCGACUGUAUUUACUUACCAAGGGUACAAGAUAAAUGGGAAUACAUUUCACACGAUCGCCCAAGAUAAAAAGAGCACAAACCGAAACAGUGGUGUCUUCUUUGAUGCAACAAACACCAAUAGGGCAAAGGAUACAUAUUAUGGUUACAUAGAGGAGAUAUGGGAACUUGACAACGGAUGUGAAUUUAAGAUCUCUUUUUCG